rnacentral:rRNA from 1 species
UGCCAGCCGCCGCGGUAAUACGGGGGGAUCGAGCGUUAAUCGGAAUUACUGGGCGUAAAGCGCGCGUAGGCGGUCUGGUCAGUCGGAUGUGAAAGCCCCGGGCUCAACCUGGGAAUUGCAUUCGAUACUGCCAAACUAGAAUGUUGGAGAGGGAAGUGGAAUUUCCGGUGUAGCGGUGAAAUGCGUAGAUAUCGGAAGGAACACCAGUGGCGAAGGCGGCUUCCUGGCCAAACAUUGACGCUGAGGUGCGAAAGCGUGGGUAGCGAACAGGAUUAGAUA